rnacentral:misc_RNA from 1 species
AUAUAUCAACCUCUUCAGCUUUUGGUUGUUGAGUGUUGGAUGUGGGGGUUUUUUGCUGGUCUUCUAAAAAAGGUCAGCUCCCCUGAAAUGCAUUAGCAGAACAAUUUGUGGACCGUUCAUUGGUGUGAUAACUAUCUACGCUAUUGACGUGAAGCAGUUCUGCUUCAAACAGUCCAUUGAAUUGGACAAAUUUUCAUUA